GUUCAGUAUUUACGCUGUGCCUCGUGGAUCUCUAUUUACGAAAUCUGAUCUUGAUUGGGAGUAUGACAGCGUAAAAGUGUGUCGUGGUUAUGUAUUUAUGAUAGAAUGUAACAAACCGUGAUUACGAGAGAUCCCGCGAUCCACGGAGGCUCUCAAAGUUGGCUUUGUCGUCUUGCAACGAGCAACAGGUCCUUCAUGUUUAUAUUUCUCAGUUUCAACGUACCUGGUAUCUUCCAUUUUAUAUCUGGAUAUAAAACUUUUGCGUUUUAUACUUUCUUGAUGGAUAGAAAAAUACGCACGUUAUUAUUUCCUAACAUUCGUAUGCUCCAUUCGAACGUUUUCCAUCGAAAAUGAAAAGAAAGCUGAAACUCCGUUAUAUCCGCUGUGCCUCGAAAAAUGUGAAGAAAGAUACCGUAUUUCAAACAAUAGAAUAACGUUUCACUUGGCGACUACUUGCAUUCAGGAUACUGCACGCGAGGAACUUUCCUUUGGAUAUCGCGUGGCUUUCGCAGUUGUUUGCUUAAGAAUACCCUUAAAAUUUUCUCCAAGUUCAA